UAAGACAGAGGGUGCAAACGUUGUUCGGAAUUACUGGGCGUAAAGCGCAUGUAGGCGGCCACGCAGGUCGGAUGUGAAAUCCCUCGGCUCAACCGAGGACGUGCAUUCGAAACCGCAUGGCUCGAGUCCCGGAGAGGGUGGUGGAAUUCUCGGCGUAGAGGUGAAAUUCGUAGAUUUCGGGAGGAACACCGGCGGCGAAAGCGGCCACCUGGACGAGGACUGACGCUGAGAUGCGAAAGCGUGGGGAGCAAACAGGAUUAGAUACCCUGGUAGUCCACGCCGUAAACGAUGGGUGCUAGAUGUCGCGGGUUUUGACCCCCGCGGCGUCGUAGCUAACGCGUUAAGCACCCCGCCUGGGAAGUACGGCCGCAAGGCUA
rnacentral:rRNA from 1 species